UACAGAGGGUGCGAGCGUUGUUCGGAAUUAUUGGGCGUAAAGCGCUUGUAGGCGGCUUGUUAAGUUCCGUGUGAAAUCCCCAGGCUUAACCUGGGAAGUGCGCGGAAAACUGGCGAGCUUGAGUGCCGGAGAGGGUCGCGGAAUUCCCGGUGUAGAGGUGAAAUUCGUAGAUAUCGGGAGGAACACCUGUGGCGAAAGCGGCUCACUGGACCACAACUGACGCUGAGGCGCGAAAGCUAGGGGAGCAAACAGG
rnacentral:rRNA from 1 species